AGUGAACGCUGGCGGUAGGCCUAACACAUGCAAGUCGAACGGCAGCACAGUAAGAGCUUGCUCUUACGGGUGGCGAGUGGCGGGCGGGUGAGGAAUACAUCGGAAUCUACUUUUUCGUGGGGGAUAACGUAGGGAAACUUACGCUAAUACCGCAUACGACCUACGGGUGAAAGCAGGGGAUCUUCGGACCUUGCGCGAUUGAAUGAGCCGAUGUCGGAUUAGCUAGUUGGCGGGGUAAAGGCCCACCAAGGCGACGAUCCGUAGCUGGUCUGAGAGGAUGAUCAGCCACACUGGAACUGAGACACGGUCCAGACUCCUACGGGAGGCAGCAGUGGGGAAUAUUGGACAAUGGGCGCAAGCCCGAUCCAGCCAUACCGCGUGGGUGAAGAAGGCCUUCGGGUUGUAAAGCCCUUUUGUCGGGAAAGAAAAGCAGCAGGUUAAUACCCCGCUGUUCUGACGGUACCCAAAGAAUAAGCACCGGCUAACUUCGUG
rnacentral:rRNA from 1 species